rnacentral:rRNA from 1 species
AGGACGAACGCUGGCGGCGUGCCUAAUACAUGCAAGUCGAACGGUCUUUCUAUGGAAGCUUGCUUCCACUGAGAAGAUAGUGGCGAACGGGUGAGUAACACGUGGGUAACCUGCCCAUAAGAGGGGGGAUAACAUCCGGAAACGGGUGCUAAUACCGCAUAGUUUCUUGAUCGCAUGAUCGGGAAAGGAAAGACGGCCUUUGUGCUGUCGCUUAUGGAUGGACCCGCGGCGUAUUAGUUAGUUGGUGAGGUAACGGCUCACCAAGACGAUGAUACGUAGCCGACCUGAGAGGGUGAUCGGCCACAUUGGGACUGAGACACGGUCCAGACUCCUACGGGAGGCAGCAGCUAAGAAUCUUCCGCAAGUGGGACGAAAGCCUGACGGAGACCGACGCCGCGUGAACGAAGAAGGCCGUGAGGUUGUAAAGUUCGUUUUCGGGAGGGGGAACAACCGUGGCAGGGAAUGGCCGCGGGAUGACGUGAAUCCCGGAAUAAGCCCCGGCUAACUACGUGCCAGCCGCGGC